rnacentral:piRNA from 1 species
UGCACAGGUCAGUGGAGUGGAUGGCCU